rfam:Treponema sp. JC4 contig00015, whole genome shotgun sequence.
GGGCCAUUAGCUCAGCGGUUAGAGCAGAGGACUCAUAAUCCUUUGGUCCUUGGUUCAAAUCCAAGAUGGCCCA